AUGAUCAGGUUGCUUGGCAACUUGAAACAGAACUGGAUGGGGAAUAUGAGAUGGAAAGAGCAUCCGUGCAACGGUGCAGAAUUUGCAAUGGGUUUGGUUGAAGGGAUUAUUGAGAUCUCCGACAGUGAGAGCAACGUAGAAGUUGAUUCGAAGAAUGGUCUGAUCCUGAGCACGCUAAUCUGGUUGAAACAGAAUAGAAGACUGAGGGAGCAAGAGGAGAAAGAUGCAGCUGUUGGAAGAUGUAUCAAGAAAUGGAUGGCCCAGCUAAUGAGUCACUUGUUGAGAAAGACGGAAAGUUAA
rnacentral:rRNA from 1 species